AAGGUUUUAUCCCAAUGGGUUUUCCUUGGUAAGGUUUUUAAUGAGGAAGAUCUCAUAGCUAUCCAAGCUUAGGCUUUCACAAAGCUAAGCUUGAGGGGGAGUGUUGAGUUGAGUUGCGUAUAAGUGUGAAGCAAGUGAGGAGUUGAGACUAAGGAGAUGAGUUGAAGCUUGGGAAGGUUUGGGCAAGGUCCGUACAAGUCCGUACAGUCCGUACAUGACCGUACACAUGAAGAUGGGUGAAACCUUGACAAGGGUAAAGAAGUUACUUGCGGUAACUUAGGUGAAGGGAAGGAACUUACCUGGAUGCAUCAGACCGUUUAGGGAUAAGGUAGAGCGCGCCUUGACAGGCUGGAACAGCUGGAAAGGCAAGAGCAUCUCGGUCCAAGAUGCUAGAUGCUCCGCGCAUGUGGAGAAGCUAAUUGGCUAGUCCAAAUGAGCUUAUCCUCUCCUGAUUGACCUCACAUGCUUUAGUCUUCUCUUGAUUUCGAAAACCCUUGUAUGCUCACACUAUAUAUUGUAACUCAUGUCCUUAAUGAAAGAUUAGACAGUUCUAAACAAUCCUUCUCCUUACUCAUUUCACUAUGAUUCUCCAUUAGUCUCUAAGUUGUCUCUUAAUCUCUUAUUCUCCUUCUUUAAUCCUUUCUAAACUCAGAUAACCUUUUACAUUCCUAAAUGUCAUAUAUAGAAAUGCUUACAUUGCUAGAACUGAUAGGAUGCAUCCAUUGCUUAGUAAUCUAUGUCAUAAUGCUAAACGAGUAGGUAAACCAUUGAUUGUUGAUUCUGGUGCAUCACAUCAUAUGAUAAGUGAUGAGAACUUGAUUAAGGAUAUAGAACCUACGCAUGGGCAUGUGAUGAUAGCAAAUGGGGAUAAGAUACCUAUUAGAGGAAUAGGAAAGCUUAAGUUGUUUAACAAAGAAUCUAGAGCUUUUUACAUGCCUGAAUUCACAUCAAACCUAUUAUCUGUGAAGAAAUGUACUAAUGAUUUACAAUGCAAUGUUAUCUUUAGUCCUAAUGAUGUGAAGUUUCAGGAUAUUGAGAGCAGCAGAUUGAUUGGGAAAGGGGUGACUAAGGGAGAUCUCUAUAUGCUUGAAGAACUCACUUCUGUUCCUGAUUAUAGUUGCUCGUUUACUUCUGCUUCUUUGCUGAAUAAAAAUGCAUUGUGGCAUGCUAGAGUAGGACACCCUCAUGUUAAAGCUUUGAACUUAAUGGUACCAGGUGUUGUGUUUGAGAACAAAGAUUGUGAAGCUUGUAUUUUAGGCAAGCAUUGUAGAACUGUGUUUCAAAAGUCUACUACUGUUUAUGAUAAUUGCUUUGAUCUAAUUCAUUCAGAUGUGUGGACUGCUCCUUGCUUAUCUAGAGAUAGUUAUAAGUACUUUGUCACAUUCAUUGAUGAAAAAUCCAAAUACACCUGGUUAACCUUAAUUCAGACCAAAGAUAGGGUACUUGAUGCAUUUAGGAACUUUCAAACUUAUGUAACUAACCAUUAUCAUGCUAAGAUUAAAAUUUUGAGAUCAGAUAAUGGAGGAGAGUACACAAGUCAUGCAUUCAAGCAACACUUAUCACAGCAUGGGAUCCUACAUCAAACAAGCUGUCCGUAUACUCCACAGCAAAAUGGAGUGGCUGAGAGGAAGAAUAGGCACCUCAUGGAAGUGGCAAGGUCUCUUAUGUUUCAGAGUAAGGUUCCAAAGAGAUUUUGGAGUGAUGCGGUUGCCACUGCUUGUUACUUGAUCAACAGAACUCCAACCAAGGUUCUGAAUGAGAAGGCUCCAUUUGAAGUUCUGAACAGGUACAAACCAGCUCUUGAUUACUUGCGAGUCUUUGGAUGCCUAUGCUUUGUGCUCAAACCAGGAGAGAUGAUCAACAAGCUAGAAGCAAGAAGUACUAAGGCUGUGUUCAUAGGAUACUCAGCUACACAGAAAGGAUACAAAUGCUAUGAUCCUAUAGCAAGGAGAGUACUUGUAUCGAGAGAUGUGAAGUUCUUGGAAGAUAGAGGAUACUAUGAAGAAAAGAAUCAAGAAGACCUGAAGGACUUAACAUCAGACAAGGCAACCACCUUGCGGAUCAUCCUUGAAGGUCUUGGAAUCAGUACAUCCCAGGAUCCAAGGAAUCACGCAACUACACCUCCUGAAGUUGGUUCACCAUCCCACCUUGAUCAUGAGGGAGGAGAGGAGCAUGAGGAACCUAUGCAAGAGGCUAACCAGGAUGAAGGAGGAGUAGAGAAUGAAGGAGAAGAGAGCAUAGGCUCUGAUGGUCAUGGUCAUGAUCAUGGUGUGAGGCAAACACCUUCUCAAGAUGAAGUGGUAGAAGAACAACAGGAAGAAGAACCGGUUGUGCAGCCACUAAGAAGGAGCACAAGGAUAAGGAAGGAUCCUUCUAGCUGGGUAAACACGAGAGUGUACUACAAUGCCCAAGCUGUGGAGCAUCCUUCUCAAGCCGUGUGCUCCUUUGCUCAAUAUCCAGAAGAACAUUGUGCCUUCAUGGUUAACUUGGAUGAGAACUACAUCCCAAGAAGCUAUGAAGAAGCAAUCAUGGAUAAAGAAUGGAAGGAGUCAGUUGGAGCUGAGGCAGGAGCUAUGAUCAAGAAUGAUACAUGGUACGAGAGUGAGUUACCAAAAGGGAAGAAGGCUGUGACUAGUAGAUGGAUAUUCACAAUCAAGUACAAAGCGGAUGGAAAGAUUUAGAGGAAGAAGUCAAGGCUAGUUGCAAGAGGUUUCACUCAAACUUAUGGAGAAGAUUACAUAGAAACCUUUGCACCAGUAGCUAAACUACACACAAUCCGGAUUGUACUAAGCUUGGCUGUGAAUCUUGGAUGGGGGUUAUGGCAAAUGGAUGUGAAGAAUGCGUUUCUACAAGGUGAACUUGAGGAUGAAGUGUAUAUGCAUCCACCUCCAGGCCUUGAACACUUAGUGAAGAGAGGGAAUGUGUUAAGACUGAAGAAAGCUAUCUAUGGGCUGAAGCAAUCACCAAGAGCUUGGUACAACAAGUUGAGCACUACUCUGAAUGGCCGAGGCUUCAAGAAGUCUGAACUAGAUCACACCCUCUUCACACUCACGACUCCCUCAGGUAUGAUUGCACUCCUUGUGUAUGUUGAUGAUAUCAUUAUCACAGGGAGUGAUAAGGAAGGUAUCAUAGCAACCAAGGAGUUUCUUAAAUCCAUGUUUGAGAUUAAAGACUUGGGAGAAAUGAAAUACUUUCUUGGAAUUGAGAUAUGUAGAUCCAAGGAAGGUUUGUUCAUGUCCCAAAGGAAGUAUACACUUGAUCUUUUGAAAGGUGCAGGUGUUUAUGGAGGCAAGACAGCAAGGAUGCCUAUGGAGGAUGGCUACAAAGUCCCACGAGAGGGGGAGAUUGAAGACAGCAAACCUUAUCAGGAUCCUAAACUCUAUAGAAAACUAGUUGGCAAAUUGAUUUAUCUUACUAUAACUAGACCUGACAUUUGUUUUGCUGUGAAUCAGGUGAGUCAACACAUGCAAGUGCCUAAGGAACAUCAUUGGCGCAUGGUGGAGAGGAUCUUGAUGUAUCUCAACGGCUCACCUGAUCAAGGAGUAUGGAUGGGCUGCAAUGGAAGCACUGAAGUGGUGGGAUACUGUGAUGCGGAUUGGGCUGGUGAUAGAGCAGACAGGAGAUCAACCACAGGCUAUUGCACAUUCAUUGGAGGCAACUUGGUGACUUGGAAGAGUAAGAAGCAGAAGGUGGUGUCUUGCUCAAGUGCAGAAGCUGAGUAUAGAGCAAUGCUGAAGCUCACCAACGAGUUAGUAUGGAUCAAAGGCAUCUUGAAGCAUUUGGAGAUUGAUCAAGCCACGCCAAUGACCAUGCAUUGUGACAACCAAGCCGCCAUUCACAUUGCCUCCAACUCGGUGUUCCAUGAGAGAACCAAGCACAUUGAAGUUGAUUGUCACAAGGUGAGGCAGAUGAUCAUCUUAGGAGUCAUCUUGCCAUGCUACACAAGGAGUGAAGAUCAGUUAGCGGAUGUGUUUACCAAGGCUGCAAGACAGAAGACAAUGGAGUCCAUUCACAUCAGGUUGGGCCUCAUUGAUCUUGGGAAGAGAAGGAGCUAAUCCCCUUAGCUGCAAGGUCUUUACUCUUUUUCCCUCAUCAAAGUUUUAUCCCAUUGGGUUUUCUUUGGUGAGGUUUUUAAUGAGGAAGAUCUUGUGGCUUUCCAAGCUUAGGCUUUCACAAAGCUAAGCUUGAGGGAGAGUGUUGAGUUGAGUUAAGCAUAUAAGUAAGAAGAGAAGAGGGGUUGAGGAGAUGAAGAGAUGAGGCAGAGUGGAGUUUAGAGAGAGCAUGGUACGGACGUCCGUACAAGGCCGUACAAGCCGUACAGUCCGUACCAUCCAAGCCUCGACCAAGACUUACCGUGCAUUGCCCAAGUGAAAUGGUAAACGCGGAAGAGUUACUCAAGAGGAUAAGGAUCAGAACGUUGAGAGGAUAAGGGAAGAGCAUGCCAGGCUGUGACAGGCUGUAAAGAGAGGAAGCAUGCGAGUCCCCUCAUCCGUCCAUCCCUAAAGCAACCUUUGACUCCACAUGCUUCAAUAGUGCCCAUUUCGAGUCUUGGAAACCCUUGUAGCUCUCUUAUAAAUAUGUAACCUCACUCAUUAAUAACAUUAAGCAGUUUGAGUCUCUCUAAUCUAUUAGACACUAUGGUUCUCUCUUAGACUCUAAACGGCUCUAUCUAGUCUCUUAAUCUUUCACAAACUUCUCUUAAUCACUUCUUAAACACUCUCUUUAUUCUGAUUACUCUAAGGAUCUCUUAAUCUCAUAACCAAUCCUUUUCUCUAUAUCACCUAGAACAAGCUCUAAUCAUUCUUCAUUGAAGCUUAUACACACACACAUACUACCAGAGUAGAGAUCUCUUUAAAAAUCAUAUGGUAUCAGAGCCAGGUUCAUCAGAACCUGAGCUGUAGCUUCCACACAACACCAGCUCUACCCUCAGCUCAAAGCCAACGCCAAACCUUAAAGACAUGUUCAUCCGGAUCUUGUUUCUUCAAGAGGAAGAAGAAGACUGAAGCCAUGGCGUGUAAUCCUUGUCUCUCAGCCAUCCCUACCUGUCCUAAUGAAGAUUCUCACGGGAAGCAAAGGUGUAUGGAGAGGUUGAGUUAUCCUACCUCUAGGGCGCCUUGCUUCAAGAGCUGUUUCUCAUCUGGUUUCCAAGAGAAAGCCAUCUAGAAGUUGGCGUGUUGAAGGCUUGAAGAAAGGAGGGGUUAUUUGGGUGGGGAAUACAAGAUGGUGGCCAUGAACUGAAGGAGAAAGAGAUGGGGGUCAAACCAGGCUCUUAGAUUCAACAAAAUUCAUGGCUGGGUUCAGAAAAUGCAAAAGGAAUCAACCUGGUUCCUUGCUGUAAGCGAUUCUAUAAACCAUCUUGAUAAUGAGCUUGUGUUGUUGACUGGUUAGAAUGUGUGAUGUGAUUGAAAACCUGAGGAUUGUUAAAGAUUGAUAAAUUAAAAUGUUUAGAAUCUGUCCCAGGAUACUUUAAGAGCUUUGUUUGGUGACUGAAUGUGAUUAAUCUGCUUAGCUUCGUUUCAUAGUGAUGCUUAGUGUGAUUAACUGAAUCUGCUUGCAUACAUGGAUUGAAACUGAAUUUAAAGCUGUUGCAUAUAGUCUUGUGGCUGUCUUACAUUGAAGCAUUAGAUUCAUGUCUAAAGUGCUGAGUAAAGAAGUUUUUUUUAAAAGUGCCUAAGUAACUUGUCUUGAAUCUGUUAGGAACUUGCUUGUACUUAGAGUGCUAGCUUGCAAAGAAUAGAACUUGAUAAUGCCUUGUGUCUAUCUGUUGCAUUGCUUGUGAUAUUGGGAAUCAAACUUGAUGAUUUAUUAAUCAAGUUUUGACAUCAAUACUAUUGAAAAUGGUAAAUGCUUAAUGUCAGCUCUAAAUUAACUUGUCUUGUUAAGAUGAUAGAUUAUAUUAUCUAAUCAUACUUGCUUUCAUGAGUUAGAAACUGAUUAAGAUUAAUGCAUACUGCCUUGUUGCUGCCUUGGAUUGUUGCAUUUAGAUUAAAGUCUAAGUUGCAUAUUAAGGAGUGAUUAAAAUUGCCUAAAUGCUUUGACUUGAAUCUGAUAAGGUCUUGCUUAGUAUUUAGAGAAUGGUUGCUUGCAUAGAUAAGAACUUGACAUUGUCUUGAUUCUAUCUAAUGUUAUAAGGCUUGAGACAUUGGUGAUCAAACUUGAUGAAGUCAAGGAUUGAUCCCAAUGCAAUUGUGUCUUAUCUUGGCUAGAGUUUGAGUGAUGUUUCAGGUUCACAAAAGGUGUUCCUAGUUCAUCAUCAAAUCCGAGUUUAAAGAGAAAGAAUGGUGUCCAUUAUGUGUGCAAUGGAGAGUUACUACAAGAAGGGUGAAGCGCAGAUGGUUGUAAAACCCACUUGAAGCUCACUGGUCUUCCUACUACCAUUGCAAGUAACUGAAGAAGAAGCCAACCGGGUCUAGGCAGUGGCGUGCCUAUUCAAGAGGGUGCUCAAACUAAGACAGAGCACUCUUGGCUGUGUGAAGUAGAAGGCUACUCUAUCAAGGCGGCCUCUAUUGUGAGGUGAUUGAAGAAGUAGCUGAAGCAUCCACAAGCAUUCCAUCAUGGUGGUGAAUUCAGAAGGGUGAUUGCAAUAAGAGAAGAAGAAGAAGUAAGGAUUCAAGUGGUAACUUUGAGAACCAUUUCUCAUCAUCUUAACCAAGGGAGUAAACCUAAUCUCAUCUAUCUUAAUAUGUCUUGAUAGGUUUAUCUUCUGAUUAUACUUUGUGCUUUCCCUAAUUCUAUUAAGAGUUUAUAGCCUCUAGUAGAAUGUCUAGGCUAAUUGCACUGAAAUUGUUUUGCUGCUGCACUGUCAUAUUGAUAGUAAGUAAUGUCUAGAGUCCCAGAAUCUCAUGUUCUGUUUAUUGCAUUGUCUUGAGGGUUGUCAUAGCUUGAAUCAUCAUGAAUGUGUUGUAGAAUUGAGUAGAAUGUCUCUGCUGCUUGCAUCAUGAUUGAUAAGUUAUUUUUAUACACUUUUGUGUAUUAGAGUGUUUCUAAACAAGUUUAAGAACAAUCAUACUGUCUUGUGUAAGAUUAAAGAGAUUAAGAGAAUAAGUAGAGAGAGAAUACUCAAAACUCCAUUAAUCAAUAACUGAUGAGGUUUACAAGUAUAUAUAGAGAGAGCAACAAGGGUUUUCGAAAUGCAUAAGCAUGUGGAGUCAAAGGACAGGCUGGAACUCCUUUUGAAUCACUUGGCUGUGCUUUCUCACAUGCUUGCACUAGUGUAAAAGCAUCCUCUCCUUUCCAGCAUCAUACAGGCUGUCAAAGUGAUCCCUUAUCCUUCCUUAUCCUCUUCCAACGUCUCACUUAGGAUAAGAAAGGAUUAACCUCAGUUAUACUCCAAUUUAACCCAUCCAGGUAACUUCUCUUCUUCUCACUUUAGUUACCACAGUAAAACUAAAGUUACUGUGGUAAAUCCUAAAGUUACUGACUACCCCAAUGCUCUUCCUCUAUCAAUGUAUCCACUCCUCAUCUCCUCAUCUCAACACUCCCCCUCAAGCUUGACCAUGUAGAACAAGUCAAGCUUGGAACCCAUGAAGACCUCCCUCAUUAAAAACCUCACCAAGGAAAACCCAAUGGGAUAAAACCUUGAUGAGGGAAAAAGAGUGGAGACUCCAUGGUUAAGGGGCUCAUCUCCUAGGAGUAAGAUCAAUGAGUCCAAGUCUUGAUAUUAUGGACUCCAUUGUCUUCAAUCUCGCUGCCUUAGUAAACACAUCUGCAAGCUGAUCUUCACUUCUUGUAUAACAUGGCAAUAUCACUCCAAGUAUAAUCAUCUGCCUCACCUUGUGGCAAUCAACUUCUAUAUGCUUCGUCCUCUCAUGAAAGACUGAGUUAGAAGCAAUGUGGAUAGCUGCUUGAUUGUCACAAUGCAUUGUCAUAGGAGUACUCUGCUCAAUCUCCAAAUGCUUCAAGAUCCCCUUGAUCCACACCAACUCGUUUGUCAGCUUCAACAUGGCUCUAUACUCAGCUUCAGCACUUGAACAGGAGAUAACCUUCUGCUUCUUACUCUUCCAAGUGACCAAGUUCCCUCCAAUGAAUGUACAAUACCCAGUAGUUGAUCUCCUGUCCACUCUAUCUCCUGCCCAAUCAGCAUCACAAUAUCCAACCACUUCUGUACUGCCAUUACAACCCAUCCAAACUCCUUGACCAGACGUGCCACUCAAAUACCUCAGUAUCCUAUCAACCAUCUUCCAAUGAUGGACCUUUGGUGCCUGCAUAUGCUGACUCACUUGAUUUACCGCAAAGCAUAUAUCUGGCCUAGUGAUGGUCAAGUAGAUCAGCUUGCCCACCAUCUUCCUGUAUAGCUUAGGAUCCUCAAACAGCUGCUUCUCUUCAACCUCCCCCUCACGCAGAACCUUAUAUCCCUCCUCAAGAGGUGUCUUGGCUAUCUUUCCUCCAAGCACAUCAGUCUCCUUCAACAUAUCCAUAGUAUACUUCCUCUGAGACAUAAACAAACCCUCCUUUGAUCUGCAUAUCUCAAUGCCAAGAAAAUACUUCAUCUCUCCCAAAUCCUUGAUGUCAAACACAGAUUUGAGAAACUCCUUAGUAGCUUGAAUCCCUGCCUUAUCACUCCCUGUGAUAAUCAAAUCAUCCACAUACACUAGAAUCACAAUGAUCCCUGAGGGUCCUGUCAAGGUGAAGAGAGUGUGAUCUAGUUCAGACUUCCUAAAGCCUCUCCCAUUGAGUGUUGUACUCAGCUUCCUGUACCAAGCUCUAGGUGAUUGUUUCAGCCCAUAUAUUGCCUUCUUCAAUCUCAAUACAUUCCCUGGCUUUACUAGGUGCUCAAGACCAGGAGGCGGAUGCAUGUAUACUUCAUCUUCAAGUUCACCUUGCAGGAAAGCAUUCUUCACAUCCAUUUGCCACAAAUCCCACUCCAAGUUUGUUGCAAUGGACAACACAAUCCGAACUGUGUGCAGCUUAGCUACUGGUGCAAAGGUAUCAAUGUAAUCCUCUCCAUAGGUCUGUGUAAAUCCUCUUGCAACCAAUCUAGUCUUCUUCCUAUCAAUCUGUCCAUUUGCAAGAUACUUGAUUGUGAAGAUCCAUCUACUAGAUACAGCCUUCUUUCCCUUAGGCAGCUCACUCUCAUACCAUGUAUCAUUUUUUAUCAUAGCACCUGCUUCAGCUCCCACUGAUUCUUUCCAUUCCUUGUCUAACAUAGCUUCUUCAUAAGUCCUUGGUACAUAACUCUCAUCCAGACUAAUCAUAAAGGCAUAAUGCUCCUCUGGAAACUCAGCAAAGGAACACACGGCUUGAGAGGGAUGCUCCACAGCCUGGGCAUUGUAGUACACUCUCGUGUUUACCCAGUUGGAAGGAUCCCUCUUUAUCCUUGUGCUCCUCCUCAAAGCUUGAACCUGAUCUUCAGUUUGCACACUAGCCGGCUCCACUUGCUCCUCUUCUGAACUGACCGGUCCGACUUGUUCUUCUCCACUAGACUGACUAAUAGCUUCCUGGUCAAGGAAGAACCCUAGGAUGCUCUUGAGGGUCGAUCUGGUAUUGAUUUGGUGGUGAUGGAUCAGGUUACUAACACUGAUGGAAAGAUGAUCGAUUGAUGAGUUGAUGGAAAGGGGAUUGGUGAUCGAUGGUAGAGAUGGUUUCAGUGAUGAUCUGCGGAAUGAUCAGGCACUGAUUGGGAUGAUCUUAGUCCGUGAGAGGCAGCCCCACUAGUGAACAAGAUCAAGGCUUAAGGAAGAUCACUCUUCUAGCCAAAUUCGAUGUCCAAAAACUGAACAAAGGAAUCACAAGUUUAGAGAGAAUUUUUGAUAACAAAAGUGAUUGAUUUUAUUCAGAUCUUGCAGAGAGUUUAAGUAGAAAGAAAGGAAAGCAAAGAGUCACCAAGGACUUGUAGUUUUCGAAAAUAUCUUAAGUAAAACUAGGUAGUGUUGAAGAUUGAACAAUUGAAUAUCUUCAAGGCUUCUUUGACUUGGUUUUCUUCAGAUGUCGAGAUUGGUUUAGUGUAAACCAAUCUGAGAAUUGCCUCCUUUAAUUGUCUUGUCUUUGAUCUGGUUAUUGGCCCAUUGGAGAAAGAGAAUGGGUCUCGUGCUGAGUUAAAUCCAAUUGAACUCCCAUCCAGCUCCUUGUAUCCAAUUGUAGUGUUUGUCUCAUCCAGCUCCUCUUCACUGUCACUCUCUUCCAGCUCUUCAUGCGCAAGAUCAGCUACUGGUUCAGUCAAGCUCACAUCAUCCCCUCCUCCUUUAAAAGGAUUUGUCCUCAAAUCCAAAUCAUCUGCACGAAAAGGGAUCAAGUCAGCAACAUUGAAAGUAGAACUUAUAGAAUACUUACCUUGAAGAUCAAUCUUGUAAGCAUUGUUGUUGAUCCGUUCAAGCACAGUGAAAGGUCCAUCUGUCCUUGGCAUCAGUUUAGACUUUCUUUCUUCAGGAAACCUCUCCUUUCUCAAGUGAAUCCAUACAAGAUCUCCUGGUUCCAGCAACAGCUCAUGUCUCUUCUUGUUUGCUUGCUUUUCAUACUCCUUGGUCCUCUUCUCAAUGUUCUUCUUUACCUGUUCAUGCAAUGAAACAACAAACUCGGCUUUUGCCUUGCCAUCAAGAUUAGUUUGCUCAUUGUAUGGUAAAGGCAUGAGGUCCAAAGGAGUCAAAGGAUUGAAUCCAUAAACAAUCUGAAAAGGUGAGAACUUUGUAGCACUAUGCACAGAAUGGUUAUAAGCAAACUCCACAUGAGGAAUACAAUCUUCCCAAGUUUUGAUGUUCUUUUUAAUCACAGCACGCAAGAGAGCAGACAAAGAUCUGUUAACUACUUCAGUUUGUCCAUCAGUUUGAGGAUGACAAGUAGUAGAGAACUUCAACUUUGUUCCAAGUUUAGACCACAAUGUUCUCCAGAAAUGACUAAGAAAUUUAGUAUCCCUAUCAGACACUAUUGAUCUAGGCAUGCCAUGCAAACGAACAACCUCUCUAAAGAAAAGUUCAGCAACCAUCAAGGCAUCAUCAGUUUUGUGACAUGGAAUGAAAUGUGCCAUUUUUGAGAACCUAUCAACAACUACAAAGAUUGAAUCUCUGCCCUUUCUAGUCCUAGGCAAACCAAGCACAAAAUCCAUAGAUAUAUCAAUCCAUGGAGCAUCAGGAAUGGGAAGAGGAGUAUACAAACCUUGAGGUCGGGCCUUGGCUUUGGCUUGGGUGCAAGUAACACAUCUGCUGCAUACUCUCUCCACAUCUCUUCUCAUGGCCGGCCAGUAAAAGUGCUCUUUCAGGUGGGCGAGUGUCUUGGCAACUCCAAAAUGCCCCAUCAAUCCUCCUCCAUGUGCUUCCCUAACAUACAACUCUCUCAAAGAACAGUUAGGUAAACAAAGUCGAUUUUCAUAGAAAAGAAAACCCUCAACUUGAUAAAACUUUCCACUGGUAUGUUUCUUGCUUUCUUCAAAUUGAACUUUAAAAUCUUGAUCAUCUUCAUAAUAAGACUUUAUUUGUUCAAAACCUAACAGCUUAGCUUCCAUAGAAGUGAAAAGAGUAUACCUUCUGGAGAGUGCAUCAGCCACAAUGUUUUCUUUACCUUGUUUAUAGUGAAUCACAUAAGGAAAGGUUUCCAAGAACUCUACCCAUCUGGCGUGUCUCUUGUUGAGCUUGUGCUGUCCCUUCAGGUGUUUCAAGGACUCAUGAUCAGUGUGUAUAACAAACUCCUUUGGCCAGAGAUAGUGCUGCCAAGUUUGGAGUGCUCUAAUCAAAGCAUAGAGUUCCUUGUCAUAAGUUGGGUAGUUCAGCAUGGCUCCACUUAGUUUCUCACUGAAAUAUGCUAUGGGUCUCUUCUCCUGCAUCAGCACAGCUCCAAUACCUACACCAGAAGCAUCACAUUCAAUUUCAAAGGUCUUAGUAAAAUCUGGAAGAACUAGCAAAGGAGCAUUAGUCAACUUCCCUUUCAGGUUUUGAAAAGCCUCCUCUUGCGCCUUCUCCCACUUGAAACCCACAUCCUUCUUGAUGACUUCAGUGAGUGGUGCAGCUAUGGUGCUAAAAUCCUUCACAAAUCUUCUAUAAAAGCCGGCAAGACCAUGGAAACUUCUCACCUCGCUCACACUCUUAGGACUAGGCCAGUCUCGGAUAGCUCUAACCUUUUCCUCAUCCACUCUGAUUCCCUGUGCUGUUACAACAAAUCCUAGAAAAACAAGGUGAUCUGUCCCAAAAGUGCAUUUCUUAAAGUUAGCAAACAAGGAUUCUUUCCUAAGCACUUCUAACACAGAUUUCAAGUGAUGCACAUGCUCAGCCAUACUCUUGCUGUAGAUCAAAAUAUCAUCAAAAUAGACUACAACAAAGUGUCCUAUAAAAGACCUCAAGACAUGGUUCAUCAACCUCAUGAAAGUGCUAGGGGCAUUGGUAAGACCAAAUGGCAUAACAAGCCACUCAUACAGACCAUGUUUAGUUUUAAAGGCUGUUUUCCAUUCAUCCCCUUCUUUCAUCCUAAUCUGAUGAUAUCCACUUUUUAAAUCUACCUUAGAGAACACACAAGAACCAUGUAGCUCAUCCAACAUAUCAUCAAGUCUAGGAAUAGGAUGUCUGUACUUUACAGUGAUAUUGUUGAUGGCUCUGCAAUCUACACACAUGCGCCAGCUUCCAUCCUUCUUAGGCACAAGGAGCACUGGUACUGCACAAGGGCUCAUGCUCUCUCGGAUAUGUCCUUUCUCAAUGAGCUCAUCUACUUGCUUCUGUAGCUCUUUUGUUUCUUCAGGGUUGGUUCUAUAGGCAGGGCGGUUUGGGAGAGAAGCUCCAGGGACCAAGUCUAUUUGGUGUUCAAUCCCACGCAUGGGAGGAAGUCCUUUUGGGCUCUCGUCUGGAAAGACAUCACCAUAGUCCUGCAAAAGAAACUCAAGUUCACUCGGUAGAACCGGUGCAGGGUCAGAAGAAGACAUUAGGGCACCUUUAAAAACAAAUAAAAGCAUAGAUUGUUGAAGACACAAAGCUUUCUUGAUCUCACUACUCUUGGCUAAGAGAUUAGUCUCCUUCUUUUGCUUGUCAGCUGGUUUCUCUUUAGCUUCUUGUCGCCUAAGUUUUAGUUGAAGUUGAUCCUCAUGUACCUCUUGUGGAGACAAAGGUGCCAGUACAAUCUUCUUGUCUCUGUGGGUGAAGGAAUGCCGGUUAGUGAACCCAUCGUGAAUGACUCUUCUAUCAUACUGCCAAGGCCUUCCCAACAAGAUAUGGCUAGAGUCCAUGGGCAGAACAUCACACACGAUCUCAUCUUGGUAUCUUCCAAUGGUUAUAGGAACCAUUACUUGAUCAGUGACCUUCAGCUCGCCCUCCUCAUUCAACCAUUGUAGAAGGUAUGGCCUAGGAUGCUUCCCUGUUUUCAAUCCAAGCUUUUCUACAAGAGCUUCACUAGCAACAUUAGUACAGCUUCCUCCAUCUAUAAUCAAACUGCAUACUUUUUCAUAAACUAUGCAACGAGUAUGAAACAGAUUCUCCCUUUGAUUAUCUUCAUCUAGCUUGGAUUGUACUGCCAAUGAUCUCCUUGUGACAAGUAGUUCUCCACGAACUGGAUAGUCUAUGGCUUCCUCUUCUUCUUCGGAUAUCACCUCACCACUGUCCAAGAGGAUCAUUGCUUUCUUGUUGGUGCACUCAUUGGCAUAGUGCCCAAAACCAUGACAUUUGAAGCACUUCACAUCCCUGGAUCUAGCAGCUGGUGCCUUUCCCUUGUCCUCAUGCUCUUCCUUGGGUUUCACAAAAGACUUGUCAUCUUUGGUAGUAGGCGCUUUGAAGUUGUUGCCAUAGGAUCCUUUGGUUGAGGACUUUCUCUUCAGUUGCUGCUCAAUGAGGAUUGCUUUGUGAAGCAAUUCAUAGAUGUCCUCAUACUCCUGCAUCUCCAAGCGGUCCUGGAUGUCUCUGUUAAGCCCAGCCUGAAAUCGAGCCAUAGUAGCUUCAGAAGCUUCUUCAACAGCCGCUUUGAUCAUGAGUAUUUCCAUCUCUUGAUAGUAAUCCUCCACGCCUUUGGUUCCUUGGGUAAGUCUCCUCAGCUUUUGAUGAAUCUCUCUACCAUAGUGGUUUGGGACAAACCGCUUCUUCAUGAGUGUCUUGAGCUCAAACCAUGAAGCAACUGGCGGCUCUCCAGUCCUUCUCCUAGUAGUAACAAUCUGAUCCCACCAAUGCAAAGCAUACCCACUGAAUUCUGUCACAGCAAGCUUCACCUUCUUUGUUUCUGAGUAGUGCUGGCAAUCAAACACUCGCUCAAUCUUCGUUUCCCAUUCAAGAUAAGCAUCUGGAUUGCUGGUUCCACUGAAGACUGGUAUUCGAAGUUUGAGACUCCCAAGGUUAUCAUCUGGUCUGUUCCUUGCUGCAUGGCGUGUAGGGGAUCUUGCUUGGGAGGCUGCACGUCCUGUUCUCACUGAUCUUGCUGAUCCCACGGACCGUUCUCCAUCAGUACUACGGCCAGAAGAAGUAUCUUCAUCCUCAGAUUCGUCUCCUACUGCAGGUCGCUUGCCUCUCCUCUUUUCCCUAGCGGCUCUCCUAACCUGUGAAGUUGUGCCAAAGACAGGGUUAGUAGAACGAGUAGCUCCAACAAAUUCAAGUUUUUUAUCCAUCUCUUUCAUGAGAGUAGCCAUGAUAGCAUCUAGUUGUGCUUUAUCCAGUCUAGCCACGGGCCUUUCUUUAUCACUUUCAGACAUGGUUUCCUGUUAAGACUUCAACAAGAAAAGUAAGUACACAAUAGAUAUAGCCGAAGCCUCACUUAGUGUUUCUCUCAAGUGUUUCUCUCAAUGAUUUCUCAAGUGAUUUUCUCAGUGAUUCCAAGAGUUCAAUGAUCAGACAAACAAACUCAAAGCCAGAGAAGUAAAAAUCCCAAAACCCCAAAGAAAUAGAUAGACAGAUUUAAGAAAUUUUGGUUUGCAAGGAGCUUUACCACCAGAGACUGGAUUUCUCUUCAGUCUGGCUGGAUUUCUCCUCAGCCCUAGUCGGAUUUCUCCUCGACUUUCUUAGAUACUUAGAUCUCUUUUUUUUUUUUUUUUUUUAUACUGGUUGGCCCCCUUGCAGAUACAACAGAUAGAAAGUAAAGAGAAAAAGAAAACUGCAGAGAGUUGCAGAGAAUCAGAAAAGGAAAUUAGGUUCCCAAAACAGAGAGAGAAGAAUUGAAUCGACAAACCCCUUUGAUUAGAAGCCCUCAAGCUGCUCUGAUACCACUUAAUAGCUUCCUGGUCAAGGAAGAACCCUAGGAUGCUCUUGAGGGUCGAUCUGGUAUUGAUUUGGUGGUGAUGGAUCAGGUUACUAACACUGAUGGAAAGAUGAUCGAUUGAUGAGUUGAUGGAAAGGGGAUUGGUGAUCGAUGGUAGAGAUGGUUUCAGUGAUGAUCUGCGGAAUGAUCAGGCACUGAUUGGGAUGAUCUUAGUCCGUGAGAGGCAGCCCCACUAGUGAACAAGAUCAAGGCUUAAGGAAGAUCACUCUUCUAGCCAAAUUCGAUGUCCAAAAACUGAACAAAGGAAUCACAAGUUUAGAGAGAAUUUUUGAUAACAAAAGUGAUUGAUUUUAUUCAGAUCUUGCAGAGAGUUUAAGUAGAAAGAAAGGAAAGCAAAGAGUCACCAAGGACUUGUAGUUUUCGAAAAUAUCUUAAGUAAAACUAGGUAGUGUUGAAGAUUGAACAAUUGAAUAUCUUCAAGGCUUCUUUGACUUGGUUUUCUUCAGAUGUCGAGAUUGGUUUAGUGUAAACCAAUCUGAGAAUUGCCUCCUUUAAUUGUCUUGUCUUUGAUCUGGUUAUUGGCCCAUUGGAGAAAGAGAAUGGGUCUCGUGCUGAGUUAAAUCCAAUUGAACUCCCAUCCAGCUCCUUGUAUCCAAUUGUAGUGUUUGUCUCAUCCAGCUCCUCUUCACUGUCACUCUCUUCCAGCUCUUCAUGCGCAAGAUCAGCUACUGGUUCAGUCAAGCUCACAUCACUGACCCUCAUCCACUUCUCCACUAGACUGAACAUUGUUCUCAACUUCUUGUGAUGUAUCUUGAUCAUGAAGGCCUGAAUCCUCUUGGUUUUGCUCUUGCUCACCAGAUUCAGUUCCAUUCCCCCUCUCAUGAUCAAGAGGAGUUGUUCUUCCAGCUUCACCAGCCUGAUUGGAAGGCUCUCUCCUCCCGGGUUCCUGAUCCUGGGAUAUCCCUAUCCCGAGCUUCUCCAACAAUACUCUCAGUAUUGUUGCCUUAUCAGAUGGAGCUUGAGACAAAUCCUUCAGAUUUUCCCACUCCUUUUCUUCAUAAUAACCUUUUGUUUCAACAAACUUCACUUCUCUAGAUACCAUCACCCUCCUUGCUUCAGGAUCAUAGCACUUGUACCCCUUUUGAGUGAUAGAGUAACCAAUGAACAUAGCCUUAGUACUCUUUGCCUCCAGCUUGUUUCUCUGCUCUCCUGGAACCAUGACAUAGCACACACACCCAAAGACACGUAGGUGAUCAAUGACAGGUUUGCUCUUGUUCAACACUUCAAAUGGAGACAGGUUCUUCAAUAUCUUGGUUGGAACCCGGUUGAUGAGAUAGCAAGCAGUCUGCACAGCAUCACUCCAAAACCGUUUUGGGACAUUUGCAUGAAACAUCAUUGAUCUAGCAACCUCCAUCAAGUGCCUAUUCUUCCUCUCAGCUACACCAUUCUGCUGUGGUGUAUAAGGGCAGCUAGUCUGAUGCACAAUCCCAUGCUUGGCUAGAUGACUCUUGAAGGCAUUGCUGAUGUAUUCACCUCCAUUAUCUGAUCUCAGUACCUUCACAGUAGCAUUGUAUUGAUUAGAUACAUAUGCUUGGAAGUUCAUAAAUGCUUCUAACACCCUAUCUUUAGAUGGAAGCAAUGUAACCCAAGUAUACUUAGACUUCUCAUCAAUGAAUGUCACAAAGUACUUCUGGCUAUCUCUAGACAAACAAGGAGCCGUCCACACAUCUGAAUGAACUAGAUCAAAGCAAUGCUCAUAAGUAGUCUCUGAUGUUGGGAAAACAGUCCUACAAUGCUUUCCUAAUAUGCAUGCUUCACAGUUUAAGUGAUUAAAUGACAUAUUAGGCAUGAUCAAUUCAAUUGCCCUAGCAUGAGGAUGUCCCAAUCUAGCAUGCCAAGUCAUACUAUCAACCCUAUCAACAGCACUACUCAAGCAUACAGAAUCAAAGGGUUUAGAAUUCUUAGCCAUUUGAAGAUGGUAUAGCUGAUUCUUGCUGUCUCCUCUGCCAAUGACUCUCCCAGUCUUCAAAUCUUGAAACUCAACUUCAUCAGGUCUGAAUACUACUUGACAAUCAAGAUCAAUGGUAGCUUUCUUCACAGAUAAUAGAUUUGAAGUGAACUGAGGCAUGUAGAAUGCAGUUGUGUCCUUCUCAAACAGUUUGAGCUUUCCCACUCCUUCUAUUGGGAUCAUGGCACCAUUAGCUAUCAUAACACUCCCUGUUGCAGCCUUGAUCUCACUUAUAAGCCUCCUAUCACUGAUCAUAUGAUGACUUGCUCCAGAAUCAAUCACAAUGGGUUUAGAAGCUCCGGAUUGUAUAGCAUGCUUCUUGCUUGCUGCUAAGGCUUGUACAUGUUCCAUGAACACUCUCCAUUCCUUCCUGGUGAUGCGAUCAUCAGCUCCACUCCCUUUCUCCUGCUCUUUUAACACCCCACUGUCCUCUACUGAUUCCCCCAUGUAGGCUGAGUAAGAACACUCUCCCACAACUCUCUUCCUACCCUUCCUUAUGUUGAUAUAAGCUUUGGAUAGCAUUCUGCACCUCCUUCUCUUCCGGAAGCCCUCACUCCUACUCCCGGUUAGCCUCCAUGAGCCCUCACUCCUACUCAUGGUUAGCUUCUGGAAGCUCUCACUCCUACUCCCAGUUGGCUUCCAUGAGCUCUCACUCCUACUCAUGGUUAGCCUCUUAUCAUCUCUCAUUACCUCAUACGCCCUUCUUAUAAGCACACAGAUCUCUUCCAUUUCCGGAAGCUGUUCCCCUCUUAGAACCAUAUCCACCAGCCACCCAUAUGAUGACUCCAUGCUCGCCAAGAGCUUCAAGACCAUCUCUUGCUCUGGUGUAGCAUCCCCAUCCACAUGGGAUCUCAACCCUUGUAGUUCAACCCACAAGUGUUGUAGCUUCCUCACAUGGUUAUUGAACUCUUCUCUUCCUUGCUUAACUCCACUGAUCACCUUCUUGACUUCAUACACUCUCCUAAGAUUGAUCUUGUUCUCAUAAACAUCUUCAAUCUUCUCAAGCAGUGUACUUUCUUCAAGACUAAAGCAAUUUCCUCUUGUUUCUCUUGCUGUCUGAUCUUUCUCAGCAGCUUUACCCUUCAAAGACUCUUCCUUCUCAUGGUUUCUCCAAACUCCACACCUUUUCAGAGUUGUUUUCAUUUGUGGGAACCACCCCCACUCAAUCCCUCUCUCUUUCUUCUCUUCACGCCUUGUUGUACCAGAUUGAAGCAGCUCCAUUUUCUUUAGCCUAAAUCUUCCCUCAAAUGCUUCUAAUCUCACACGCCAAGCUUAACCACAAGCUAGACCCCUCUUCUGACCUUGUCAAACACCUAAAAGGACUCCCUUGAAGCUGACUCUCCAAAAGAAACACCAACAGACACAAACUUGAGUUUUAAAGGAUCUAGCUCUUGAAAAAUCUCAAGAACUCUCAAGAACACUCAAGAACACUCAAGAAAAACGAAAUCACUCUCUCCUUUUAAAGCAACCUGGCUCUGAUACCAUAUACACUUUUGUGUAUUAGAGUGUUUCUAAACAAGUUUAAGAACAAUCAUACUGUCUUGUGUAAGAUUAAAGAGAUUAAGAGAAUAAGUAGAGAGAGAAUACUCAAAACUCCAUUAAUCAAUAACUGAUGAGGUUUACAAGUAUAUAUAGAGAGAGCAACAAGGGUUUUCGAAAUGCAUAAGCAUGUGGAGUCAAAGGACAGGCUGGAACUCCUUUUGAAUCACUUGGCUGUGCUUUCUCACAUGCUUGCACUAGUGUAAAAGCAUCCUCUCCUUUCCAGCAUCAUACAGGCUGUCAAAGUGAUCCCUUAUCCUUCCUUAUCCUCUUCCAACGUCUCACUUAGGAUAAGAAAGGAUUAACCUCAGUUAUACUCCAAUUUAACCCAUCCAGGUAACUUAUCUUCUUCUCACUUUAGUUACCACAGUAAAACUAAAGUUACUGUGGUAAAUCCUAAAGUUACUGACUACCCCAAUGCUCUUCCUCUAUCAAUGUAUCCACUCCUCAUCUCCUCAUCUCAACAAUUUUGCAUACAUAAGCAUAUCUCAUACUGUCUAAGUUCAAUCCUAUUGUUAUCUGAUGCUAUUGCCUAUGUUUAAUCCAUCAAUGAAAGUCUUGCAUCAAUUAGAAAUUGUCUAAGUUGUUUGCAUCAUUGGUUUUGAUUGAAACUGUUGUGCAUAGCCUUAAUAUUGCUCAUGGAUUGAACCUGUUGCAUUCACAUAGCUAAAGCUUUAACAUUGUGCAUUCAUAUAGUAAUGCAUUUAAAAAUGAGCCUAAAUUGCAAAUGUACUGAUAGGAUUGCAUUGCAUUUAGAGAACUUAAAAAUAGAACUUGCAUUGUCAUUAUUAGAGAUUGAAAUCUACUUGUCUUGACUCAGUCCAGUUCUGAUUGUUGCUAUGCCAUAGUUAAAUCCAUCAGUGAUGUCUUAUAAGCACUUAGAAGUAUGUCUAAGCAAUUUGAAUCAUUGGCUUUGAUAAAACUAGUGAGCAUAAGCAUGAAUUGAGUCACUCUUGUCGCCUUGAUUGCAUAAGUAUCAUCUAGACUUGUGUUCCAUUUAGAUUGAAUCUGUUUCAUUCAUAUAGUUAGUGUGUAACCUAAUGCAGUCAUCUAUUGUUGCAUUUAAAAAAAAACAAAACUGAAUUGAUUGUCUUUGCUUGAUUGUCUUGAUUGUCUAGCUUGUUUCAAGUAUAAUAUAUUAUUGUGGCAUUGGUGAUCAAACAGGAUGGAUAAUCUUGGUUUGAUCCCAAUGGGAUGAUCUGAUCUUGCAUUGAGUUGUGGUGGUGUUAGGUACACAAGGAAUGGGAUACAUGUAACUCACCAACAACCAAGAAUGUAAAGACAAAGGUCUUGUGCCAUUGCAUAUCAUCACUAGGACAUGUUAGUCCAUAAUCUACAGGAAGUGUAGUGUGAUUGAGUAUGCAAUGAGAGAUGGCCAUUGCAUAAUACCAUUGGACAUAUCUAGUCCUUAGUCUACAGGAAGUGUAGCAUGGGUCAUUAUGCAAUGAGAGGUGUGUCUUGUGAGACUCCUCUCUAUGGUGAUUCAAACACCCUAGUUCCUGGUUAAGGAAGAGAGUAAACUCACAAGAAGAAAGCUAUCAUGAAAGAUGAUAGUUAUUAGACCAUGGAGAUGCAUAGGAUCAUCACAAGCUUAGCUCCUUCUAGUCUCGGUUCUAAGCUUGAGGGGGAAUCUUAAUGCAUAUGAUCCAUGGUCAGUAACAAGUCUUUUGCAAAAGCUUCUACAAGGAUCAUCAACCGGACCAAGUCAGUGGCGUGUCUAGGCAAGAGGCUGUUCAGAGCAGCCUUGGCGAGUGAGGAGGAAGGCUCUCCAUCAAUGCGGCUUCAAUGAGAGGUGAUUGAGGAGAAGCUGAUGGAUCCAUUCUGCCUUUCCAAGAAGUUGAUGAUGCCAUGAAGAUGGUGCAUUGGCCGAGUUUGGAAACUCAGAGAAACACAAGGGAAGUUCCCUUAGACUUUUAAAACUCCUUUCAAUCUUUUUCAUUCAUCUUAUUCAUUGCUUGUGCUUGAAAAGAUACUUAAGAUGAUUAUGAUUGAAUUGUGAGAUUGUGUGCAUCAAGUGUGAUGCAGGAUAUUCAUUUUGAAUUGUGAGAUUGUGUGCAUCAAAUGUGAUGCCGGAUAUUCAUUUUCUUGUUUUUGAUAGGUACUGAUGCACCUUUGGGAUAAUGUAUCAGGUACCAGUGCUUGAGUCUCACUAAAGGUGUUCCUGGUCAUUUCCUAGCUUCUCUAAGGUGGCUGUGAAGUCUGUUGAGAGGGGGAGAUUCAAACCAGUUCUAUGAAGAGGGCAAGCCGUGUGUGAAGUGUUGAUCAGCCUCACUGGUGUUUUGAAGAUGAUCUGGUCGUGUCCUAGCUUCUCUAAGAUGGCUGAGAAGUCAGUUGAGAGGGGAAACUUCAAACCGGUUCCAUGAAGAGGAGAAGCUGAAGUGUGAAGUGUGCGCAAAGCUGUGAAGAGUUGCUGCACCUAUUAGGCCGUGAUCCAGAGUUUCUUGUGUCCAACCACACUGGUUUUAAGGCACAAGAGCUCACUGGCCAAUCCCUAGGCUUUGGAGAGCUCUACUCUUUUUCCCUUGCAAGGUUUUGUCCCAAUGGGUUUUCCUUGUAAGGUUUUUAAUGAGGGAGACUCUUCAGAGUUCCAAGCUUGGCUUAGGAUCUCCUAAAGUCAAGCUUGAGGGGGAGUGUUGAACUGAAGAGAAGAAGAGCUUGUACAAGCUUGAUUUGGAUACAUAAAGUGUUGGAGAAUCACCAGGAAGUUGAAUAAAUCUCAUAGGAGUUGGGAUGAAGAAGUUAUCCCACUUUCUAAUCAGGUGAUUCCAGUUUCCCAGUUUGGGAAUAGGACAGCUUCUUCGUCGUUCCAAUCAAACCAGGAUGAAUCACUUUGUAAGAAGCUUGAUUUGGAUACAUAAAGGUUGGAGAAUCACCAGGAAGUUGAAUAAAUCUCAUAGGAGUUGGGAUGAAGAAGUUAUCCCACUUUCUAAUCAGGUGAUUCCAGUUUCCCAGUUUGGGAAUAGGACAGCUUCUUCGUCGUUCCAAUCAAACCAGGAUGAAUCACUUUGUAAGAAGCUUGAUUUGGAUACAUAAAGUGGUGGAGAAUCACCAGGAAGUUGAAUAAAUCUCAUAGGAGUUGGGAUGAAGAAGUUAUCCCACUUUCUAAUCAGGUGAUUCCAGUUUCCCAGUUUGGGAAUAGGACAGCUUCUUCGUCGUUCCAAUCAAACCAGGAUGAAUCACUUUGUAAGAAGCUUGAUUUGAUACAUAAAGUGUUGGAGAAUCACCAGGAAGUUGAAUAAAUCUCAUAGGAGUUGGGAUGAAGAGUUAUCCCACUUUCUAAUCAGGUGAUUCCAGUUUCCCAGUUUGGGAAUAGGACAGCUUCUUCGUCGUUCCAAUCAAACCAGGAUGAAUCACUUGUAAGAAGCUUGAUUUGGAUACAUAAAGUGGUGGAGAAUCACCAGGAAGAUGAAUAAAUCUCAUAGGAGUUGGGAUGAAGAAGUUAUCCCACUUUCUAAUCAGGUGAUUCCAGUUUCCCAGUUUGGGAAUAGGACAGCUUCUUCGUCGUUCCAAUCAAACCCGGAUGAAUCACUUUGUAAGAAGCUUGAUUUGGAUACAUAAAGUGUUGGAGAAUCACCAGGAAGUUGAAUUAAUCUCAUAGGAGUUGGGAUGAAUGAGUUAUCCCACUUUCUAAUCAGGUGAUUCCAGUUUCCCAGUUUGGGAAUAGGACAGCUUCUUCGUCGUUACAAUCAAACCAGGAUGAAUCACUCUGUAAGAAGCUUGAUUUGGAUACAUAAAGUGGUGGAGAAUCACCAGGAAGUUGAGUUAAUCUCAUAGGAGUUGGAAUGAAGAAGUUAUCCCACUUUCUUAUCAGGUGAUUCCAGUUUCCCAGUUUGGGAAUAGGACAGCUUCUUCGUCGUUCCAAUCAAACCAGGAUGAAUCACUUUGUAAGAAGCUUGAUUUGGAUACAUAAAGUGUUGGAGAAUCACCAGGAAGUUGAAUUAAUCUCAUAGGAGUUGGGAUGAAGAAGUUAUCCCACUUUCUAAUCAGGUGAUUCCAGUUUCCCAGUUUGGGAAUAGGACAGCUUCUUCGUCGUUCCAAUCAAACCAGGAUGAAUCACUUGUAAGAAGCUUGAUUUGGAUACAUAAAGUGGUGGAGAAUCACCAGGAAGUUGAAUAAAUCUCAUAGGAGUUGGGAUGAAGAAGUUAUCCCACUAUCAGGGUGAUUCCAGUUUCCCAGUUUGGGAAUAGGACACUUCUUCGUCGUUCCCAAUCAAACCAGGAUGAAUCACUUUGUAAGAAGCUUGAUUUGGAUACAUAAAUGGUUGAGAAUCACCAGGAAGUUGAAUAAAUCUCAUAGGAGUUGGGAUGAAGAAGUUAUCCCACUUUCUAAUCAGGUGAUUCCCCAGUUUGGGAAUAGGACAGCUUCUUCGUCGUUCCAAUCAAAGCCAGGAUGAAUCACUUUGAAGAAGCUUGAUUUGGAUACAUAAAGUGUUGGAGAAUCACCAGGAAGUUGAAUAAAUCUCAUAGGAGUUGGGAUGAAGAAGUUAUCCCACUUUCUAAUCAGGUGAUUCCAGUUUCCCAGUUUGGGAAUAGGACAAGCUUCUCCGUCGUUCAAUCAAACCAGGAUGAAUCACUUUGUAAGAAGCUUGAUUUGGAUACAUAAAGUGUUGGAGAAUCACCAGGAAGUUGAUUAAAUCUCAUAGGAGUUGGGAUGAAGAAGUUAUCCCACUUUCUAAUCAGGUGAUUCCAGUUUCCCAGAUUGGGAAUAGGACAGCUUCUUCGUCGUUCCAAUCAAACCAGGAUGAAUCACUUUGUAAGAAGCUUGAUUUGGAUACAUAAAGUGUUGGAGAAUCACCAGGAAGUUGAAUAAAUCUCAUAGGAGUUGGGAUGAAGAAGUUAUCCCACUUUCUAAUCAGGUGAUUCCAGUUUCCCAGUUUGGGAAUAGGACAGCUUCUUCGUCGUUCCAAUCAAACCAGGAUGAAUCACUUUGUAAGAAGCUUGAUUUGGAUACAUAAAGUGUUGGAGAAUCACCAGGAAGUUGAAUAAAUCUCAUAGGAGUUGGGAUGAAGAAGUUAUCCCACUUUCUAAUCAGGUGAUUCCAGUUUCCCAGUUUGGGAAUAGGACAGCUUCUUCGUCGUUCCAAUCAAACCAGGAUGAAUCACUUUGUAAGAAGCUUGAUUUGGAUACAUAAAGUGUUGGAGAAUCACCAGGAAGUUGAAUAAAUCUCAUAGGAGUUGGGAUGAAAAAGUUAUCCCACUUUCUAAUCAGGUGAUUCCAGUUUCCCAGUUUGGGAAUAGGACAGCUUCUUCCUCGUUCCAAUCAAACCAGGAUGAAUCACUUUGUAAGAAGCUUGAUUUGGAUACAUAAAGUGUUGGAGAAUCACCAGGAAGUUGAAUAAAUCUCAUAGGAGUUGGGAUGAAGAAGUUAUCCCACUUUCUAAUCAGGUGAUUCCAGUUUCCCAGUUUGGGAAUAGGACAGCUUCUUCCGUCGUUCCAAUCAAACCAGGAUGAAUCACUUUGUAAGAAGCUUGAUUUGGAUACAUAAAGUGUUGGAGAAUCACCAGGAAGUUGAAUAAAUCUCAUAGGAGUUGGGAUGAAGAAGUUAUCCCACUUUCAAAUCAGGUGAUUCCAGUUUCCCAGUUUGGGAAUAGGACAGCUUCUUCGUCGUUCCAAUCAAACCAGGAUGAAUCACUUUGUAAGAAGCUUGAUUUGGAUACAUAAAGUGUUGGAGAAUCACCAGGAAGUUGAAUAAUCUCAUAGGAGUUGGGAUGAAGAAGUUAUCCCACUUUCUAAUCAGGUGAUUCCAGUUUCCCAGUUUGGGAAUAGGACAGCUUCUUCGUCGUUCCAAUCAAACCAGGAUGAAUCACUUUGUAAGAAGCUUGAUUUGGAUACAUAAAGUGUUGGAGAAUCACCAGGAAGUUGAAUAAAUCUCAUAGGAGUUGGGAUGAAGAAGUUAUCCCACUUUCUAAUAAGGUGAUUCCAGUUCCCAGUUUGGGAAUAGGACAGCUUCUUCGUCGUUCCAAUCAAACCAGGAUGAAUCACUUUGUAAGAAGCUUGAUUUGGAUACAUAAAGUGUUGGAGAAUCACCAGGAAGUUGAAUAAAUCUCAUAGGAGUUGGGAUGAAGAAGUUAUCCCACUUUCUAAUCAGGUGAUUCCAGUUUCCCAGUUUGGGAAUAGGACAGCUUCUUCGUCGUUCCAAUCAAACCAGGAUGAAUCACUUUGUAAGAAGCUUGAUUUGGAUACAUAAAGUGUUGGAGAAUCACCAGGAAGUUGAAUAAAUCUCAUAGGAGUUGGGAUGAAGAAGUUAUCCCACUUUCUAAUCAGGUGAUUCCAGUUUCCCAGUUUGGGAAUAGGACAGCUUCUUCGUCGUUCCAAUCAAACCAGGAUGAAUCACUUUGUAAGAAGCUUGAUUUGGAUACAUAAAGUGUUGGAGAAUCACCAGGAAGUUGAAUUAAUCUCAUAGGAGUUGGGAUGAAGAAGUUAUCCCACUUUCUAAUCAGGUGAUUCCAGUUUCCCAGUUUGGGAAUAGGACAGCUUCUUCGUCGUUCCAAUCAAACCAGGAUGAAUCACUUUGUAAGAAGCUUGAUUUGGAUACAUAAAGUGUUGGAGAAUCACCAGGAAGUUGAAUAAAUCUCAUAGGAGUUGGGAUGAAGAAGUUAUCCCACUUUCUAAUCAGGUGAUUCCAGUUUCCCAGUUUGGGAAUAGGACAGCUUCUUCGUCGUUCCAAUCAAACCAGGAUGAAUCACUUUGUAAGAAGCUUGAUUUGGAUACAUAAAGUGUUGGAGAAUCACCAGGAAGUUGAAUAAAUCUCAUAGGAGUUGGGAUGAAGAAGUUAUCCCACUUUCUAAUAAGGUGAUUCCAGUUCCCAGUUUGGGAAUAGGACAGCUUCUUCGUCGUUCCAAUCAAACCAGGAUGAAUCACUUUGUAAGAAGCUUGAUUUGGAUACAUAAAGUGUUGGAGAAUCACCAGGAAGUUGAAUAAAUCUCAUAGGAGUUGGGAUGAAGAAGUUAUCCCACUUUCUAAUCAGGUGAUUCCAGUUUCCCAGUUUGGGAAUAGGACAGCUUCUUCGUCGUUCCAAUCAAACCAGGAUGAAUCACUUUGUAAGAAGCUUGAUUUGGAUACAUAAAGUGUUGGAGAAUCACCAGGAAGUUGAAUAAAUCUCAUAGGAGUUGGGAUGAAGAAGUUAUCCCACUUUCUAAUCAGGUGAUUCCAGUUUCCCAGUUUGGGAAUAGGACAGCUUCUUCGUCGUUCCAAUCAAACCAGGAUGAAUCACUUUGUAAGAAGCUUGAUUUGGAUACAUAAAAUGUUGGAGAAUCACCAGGAAGUUGAAUAAAUCUCAUAGGAGUUGGGAUGAAGAAGUUAUCCCACUUUCUAAUCAGGUGAUUCCAGUUUCCCAGUUUGGGAAUAGGACAGCUUCUCCGUCGUUCCAAUCAAACCAGGAUGAAUCACUUUGUAAGAAGCUUGAUUUGGAUACAUAAAGUGUUGGAGAAUCACCAGGAAGUUGAAUAAAUCUCAUAGGAGUUGGGAUGAAGAAGUUAUCCCACUUUCAAAUCAGGUGAUUCCAGUUUCCCAGUUUGGGAAUAGGACAGCUUCUUCGUCGUUCCAAUCAAACCAGGAUGAAUCACUUUGUAAGAAGCUUGAUUUGGAUACAUAAAGUGUUGGAGAAUCACCAGGAAGUUGAAUAAUCUCAUAGGAGUUGGGAUGAAGAGUUAUCCCACUUUCAAAUCAGGUGAUUCCAGUUUUCCAGUUUGGGAAUAGGACAGCUUCUUCGUCGUUCCAAUCAAACCAGGAUGAAUCACUUUGUAAGAAGCUUGAUUUGGAUACAUAAAUUGUUGGAGAAUCACCAGGAAGUUGAAUAAAUCUCAUAGGAGUUGGGAUGAAUGAGUUAUCCCACUUUCAAAUCAGGUGAUUCCAGUUUCCCAGUUUGGGAAUAGGACAGCUUCUUCGUCGUUCCAAUCAAACCAGGAUGAAUCACUUUGUAAGAAGCUUGAUUUGGAUACAUAAAGUGUUGGAGAAUCACCAGGAAGUUGAAUAAAUGUCAUAGGAGUUGGAAUGAAGAAGUUAUCCCACUUUCUAAUCAGGUGAUUCCAGUUUCCCAGUUUGGGAAUAGGACAGCUUCUUCGUCGUUCCAAUCAAACCAGGAUGAAUCACUUUGUAAGAAGCUUGAUUUGGAUACAUAAAAUGGUGGAGAAUCACCAGGAAGUUGAAUAAAUCUCAUAGGAGUUGGGAUGAAGAAGUUAUCCCACUUUCUAAUCAGGUGAUUCCAGUUUCCCAGUUUGGGAAUAGGACAGCUUCUUCGUCGUUCCAAUCAAACCAGGAUGAAUCACUUUGUAAGAAGCUUGAUUUGGAUACAUAAAGUGUUGGAGAAUCACCAGGAAGUUGAAUAAAUCUCAUAAGAGUUGGGAUGAAGAAGUUAUCCCACUUUCUAAUCAGGAGAUUCCAGUUUCCCAGUUUGGGAAUAGGACAGCUUCUCCGUCGUUCCAAUCGAACCAGGAUGAAUCACUUUGUAAGAAGCUUGAUUUGGAUACAUAAAGUGUUGGAGAAUCACCAGGAAGUUGAAUUAAUCUCAUAGGAGUUGGGAUGAAGAAGUUAUCCCACUUUCUAAUCAGGUGAUUCCAGUUUCCCAGUUUGGGAAUAGGACAGCUUCUUCGUCGUUCCAAUCAAACCAGGAUGAAUCACUUUGUAAGAAGCUUGAUUUGGAUACAUAAAGUGUUGGAGAAUCACCAGGAAGUUGAAUAAAUCUCAUAGGAGUUGGGAUGAAGAAGUUAUCCCACUUUCUAAUCAGGUGAUUCCAGUUUCCCAGUUUGGGAAUAGGACAGCUUCUUCGUCGUUCCAAUCAAACCAGGAUGAAUCACUUUGUAAGAAGCUUGAUUUGGAUACAUAAAGUGUUGGAGAAUCACCAGAAGUUGAAUAAAUCUCAUAGGAGUUGGGAUGAAGAAGUUAUCCCACUUUCUAAUCAGGUGAUUCCAGUUUCCCAGUUUGGGAAUAGGACAGCUUCUUCGUCGUUCCAAUCAAACCAGGAUGAAUCACUUUGUAAGAAGCUUGAUUUGGAUACAUAAAAUGUUGGAGAAUCACCAGGAAGUUGAAUAAAUCUCAUAGGAGUUGGGAUGAAGAAGUUAUCCCACUUUCUAAUCAGGUGAUUCCAGUUUCCCAGUUUGGGAAUAGGACAGCUUCUUCGUCGUUCCAAUCAAACCAGGAUGAAUCACUUUGUAAGAAGCUUGAUUUGGAUACAUAAAGUGUUGGAGAAUCACCAGGAAGUUGAAUAAAUCUCAUAGGAGUUGGGAUUAAGAAGUUAUCCCACUUUCAAAUCAGGUGAUUCCAGUUUCCCAGUUUGGGAAUAGGACAGCUUCUUCGUCGUUCCAAUCAAACCAGGAUGAAUCACUUUGUAAGAAGCUUGAUUUGGAUACAUAAAGUGUUGGAGAAUCACCAGGAAGUUGAAUAAAUCUCAUAGGAGUUGGGAUGAAUGAGUUAUCCCACUUUCAAAUCAGGUGAUUCCAGUUUUCCAGUUUGGGAAUAGGACAGCUUCUUCGUCGUUCCAAUCAAACCAGGAUGAAUCACUUUGUAAGAAGCUUGAUUUGGAUACAUAAAGUGUUGGAGAAUCACCAGGAAGUUGAAUAAAUCUCAUAGGAGUUGGGAUGAAUGAGUUAUCCCACUUUCAAAUCAGGUGAUUCCAGUUUCCCAGUUUAGGAAUAGGACAGCUUCUUCGUCGUUCCAAUCAAACCAGGAUGAAUCACUUUGUAAGAAGCUUGAUUUGGAUACAUAAAGUGUUGGAGAAUCACCAGGAAGUUGAAUAAAUCUAAUAAGAGUUGGGAUGAAGAAGUUAUCCCACUUUCUAAUCAGGUGAUUCCAGUUUCCCAGUUUGGGAAUAGGACAGCUUCUUCGUCGUUCCAAUCAAACCAGGAUGAAUCACUUUGUAAGAAGCUUGAUUUGGAUACAUAAAAUGGUGGAGAAACACCAGGAAGUUGAAUAAAUCUCAUAGGAGUUGGGAUGAAGAAGUUAUCCCACUUUCUAAUCAGGUGAUUCCAGUUUCCCAGUUUGGGAAUAGGACAGCUUCUUCGUCGUUCCAAUCAAACCAGGAUGAAUCACUUUGUAAGAAGCUUGAUUUGGAUACAUAAAGAGUUGGAGAAUCACCAGGAAGUUGAAUAAAUCUCAUAAGAGUUGGGAUGAAGAAGUUAUCCCACUUUCUAAUCAGGUGAUUCCAGUUUCCCAGUUUGGGAAUAGGACAACUUCUCCGUCGUUCCAAUCGAACCAGGAUGAAUCACUUUGUAAGAAGCUUGAUUUGGAUACAUAAAGUGUUGGAGAAUCACCAGGAAGUUGAAUUAAUCUCAUAGGAGUUGGGAUGAAGAAGUUAUCCCACUUUCUAAUCAGGUGAUUCCAGUUUCCCAGUUUGGGAAUAGGACAGCUUCUUCGUCGUUCCAAUCAAACCAGGAUGAAUCACUUUGUAAGAAGCUUGAUUUGGAUACAUAAAGUGUUGGAGAAUCACCAGGAAGUUGAAUAAAUCUCAUAGGAGUUGGGAUGAAGAAGUUAUCCCGCUUUCUAAUCAGGUGAUUCCAGUUUCCAGUUUAGGAAUAGGACAGCUUCUUCGUCGUUCCAAUAGAACCAGGAUGAAUCACUUUGUAAGAAGCUUGAUUUGGAUACAUAAAGUGUUGGAGAAUCACCAGGAAGUUGAAUAAAUCUCAUAGGAGUUGGAUGAAGAAGUUAUCCCACUUUCAAAUCAGGUGAUUCCAGUUUCCCAGUUUGGGAAUAGGACAGCUUCUUCGUCGUUCCAAUCAAACCAGGAUGAAUCACUUUGUAAGAAGCUUGAUUUGGAUACAUAAAGUGUUGGAGAAUCACCAGAAGUUGAAUAAAUCUCAUAAGAGUUGGGAUGAAGAAGUUAUCCCACUUUCUAAUCAGGUGAUUCCAGUUUCCCAGUUUGGGAAUAGGACAACUUCUCCGUCGUUCCAAUCGAACCAGGAUGAAUCACUUUGUAAGAAGCUUGAUUUGGAUACAUAAAAUGUUGGAGAAUCACCAGGAAGUUGAAUAAAUCUCAUAGGAGUUGGGAUGAAGAAGUUAUCCCGCUUUCUAAUCAGGUGAUUCCAGUUUCCCAGUUUGGGAAUAGGACAACUUCUCCGUCGUUCCAAUCGAACCAGGAUGAAUCACUUUGUAAGAAGCUUGAUUUGGAUACAUAAAGUGUUGGAGAAUCACCAGGAAGUUGAAUAAAUCUCAUAGGAGUUGGGAUGAAGAAGUUAUCCCACUUUCAAAUCAGGUGAUUCCAGUUUCCCAGUUUGGGAAUAGGACAGCUUCUUCGUCGUUCCAAUCAAACGAGGAUGAAUCACUUUGUAAGAAGCUUGAUUUGGAUACAUAAAGUGUUGGAGAAUCACCAGGAAGUUGAAUUAAUCUCAUAGGAGUUGGGAUGAAUGAGUUAUCCCACUUUCAAAUCAGGUGAUUCCAGUUUUCCAGUUUGGGAAUAGGACAGCUUCUUCGUCGUUCCAAUCAAACCAGGAUGAAACACUUUGUAAGAAGCUUAAUUUGGAUACAUAAAGUGUUGGAGAAUCACCAGGAAGUUGAAUAAAUCUCAUAGGAGUUGGGAUGAAUGAGUUAUCCCAGUUUCAAAUCAGGUGAUUCCAGUUUCCCAGUUUGGAAUAGGGCAGCUUCUUCGUCGUUCCAAUCAAACCAGGAUGAAUCACUUUGUAAGAACCUUGAUUUGGAUACUUACGUGUUGGAGAAUCACCAGGAAGUUGAAUAAAUCUAAUAAGAGUUGGGAUGAAGAAGUUAUCCCGCUUUCUAAUCAGGUGAUUCCAGUUUCCCAGUUUAGGAAUAGGACAGCUUCUUCGUCGUUCCAAUUAAACCAGGAUGAAUCACUUUGUCAGAAGCUUGAUUUGGAUACAUAAAAUGGUGGAGAAACAUCAGGAAGUUGAAUAAAUCUCAUAGGAGUUGGGAUGAAGAAGUUAUCCCACUUUCUAAUCAGGUGAUUCCAGUUUCCCAGUUUGGGAAUAGGACAGCUUCUUCGUCGUUCCAAUCAAGCCAGGAUGAAUCACUUUGUAAGAAGCUUGAUUUGGAUACAUAAAGUGUUGGAGAAUCACCAGGAAGUUGAAUAAAUCUCAUAAGAGUUGGGAUGAAGAAGUUAUCCCACUUUCUAAUCAGGUGAUUCCAGUUUCCCAGUUUGGGAAUAGGACAACUUCUCCGUCGUUCCAAUCGAACCAGGAUGAAUCACUUUGUAAGAAGCUUGAUUUGGAUACAUAAAGUGUUGGAGAAUCACCAGGAAGUUGAAUUAAUCUCAUAGGUGUUGAGUUGAGUUGAUUAUAUUGGUAUGGAGAGAAGAGGAGUUGAAGAGGAGAAGAGAUGGAGAAGCUUAGGGGGUUUGGGUGUGAAUGGUACGGACGUCCGUACAAGGCCGUACAUGGCCGUACCGUCCGUACCAAAGGCCUCGACCAAAACUUACCCAACUCGACCAAGUGAAACGGUAACAAGGGAGUGUUACCUUGGGGACUUAAGGAGAAGGGAUUAGACCGUUGAGUGGAUAAGGGAAGAGCGUGCCAGGCUGGAACAGGCUGUAAAGAGGCAAAGCGUGUGAGCCUUACCAUCCAAUCAUCCGGAAAGCAACCUUGACUCUACAUGCUUCAAUAGUGCCCAUUUCGCCUCUUGUAAACCCUAAUGUCUUCUAUAUAAAUAUGUAACCUCAC
rnacentral:lncRNA from 1 species